AACGCUGGCGGCGUGCUUAACACAUGCAAGUCGAGCGGAGAAUAUAGCAAUAUAUCUUAGCGGCGGACGGGUGAGUAACGCGUGGGCAAUCUGCCUCAUACAGGGGGAUAACACUGGGAAACUAGUGCUAAUACCGCAUAAAAUAGUGAAGUGGCAUCACUUUACUAUCAAAGGAGCAAUCCGGUGUGAGAUGAGCCCGCGUCCGAUUAGCUAGUUGGAGGGUAACGGCCCACCAAGGCGACGAUCGGUAGCCGAACUGAGAGGUUGAUCGGCCACAUUGGGACUGAGACACGGCCCGGACUCCUACGGGAGGCAGCAGUGGGGAAUAUUGCGCAAUGGGGGGAAACCCUGACGCAGCAACGCCGCGUGAAGGAUGAAGGUUUUCGGAUUGUAAACUUCUUUGAUUGGGGACGAUAAUGACGGUACCCAAAAACAAGCCACGGCUAACUACGUGCCAGCCGCGGC
rnacentral:rRNA from 1 species